rnacentral:rRNA from 1 species
GACGAACGCUGGCGGCGUGCCUAAUACAUGCAAGUCGAGCGAAGUUUUUCUGGUGCUUGCCCUAGAAACACUUAGCGGCGAACGGGUGAGUAACACGUAAAGAACCUGCCUCAUAGACUGGGACAACUAUUGGAAACGAUAGCUAAUACCGGAUAACAGUAUUUCUCGCAUGAGAGAUAUUUAAAAGUUGGUUAUGCUAACACUAUGAGAUGGCUUUGCGGUGCAUUAGCUAGUUGGUGGGGUAAAGGCCCACCAAGGCGACGAUGCAUAGCCGACCUGAGAGGGUGAUCGGCCACACUGGGACUGAGACACGGCCCAGACUCCUACGGGAGGCAGCAGUAGGGAAUCUUCCGCAAUGGGCGAAAGCCUGACGGAGCAACGCCGCGUGAGUGAAGAAGGAUGUCGGUUCGUAAAGCUCUGUUGUUAGGGAAGAAUGGAUAUGUAGUAACUAUACAUGUAAGAGACGGUACCUAACCAGAAAGCCACGGCUAACUACG